UCUGUGUAUUCUUGCCACCUCUUCUUAAUCUCUUCUGCUUCUGUUAGUUCCCUGCCUUUUUUGUCCCUUAUCAUGCCCAUCUUUGCACAAAAUCUUCCCUUGAUAUCUCCAAUUUUCUUGAAGAGAUUUCUAGUCUUCCCCAUUCUAUUGUUUUCCUUGAUUUCUUUGCAUUGUUCAUCUAAGAAGGCCUUCUUAUUUCUCCUUGCUAUUCUCUGGAAAUCUGCAUUCAGUUGGUUAUAUCUUUCGCUUUCUCCCUUGCUUUUCGCUUUCCUUCUUUCCUCACCUAUUUGUAAAGACUCAUCAGACAGCCACUUUGCUUUCCUGCAUUUCUUUUUCUUUGGGGUGGUUUUAGUUGCUGCCUCCUGUACCAUGUUACAAACCUCUGUCCAUAGUUCUUCAGGCACUCUGUCUACCAGAUCUAAUCCCUUAAAUCUAUUCAUCACCUCCACUGUAUAUUCAUAAGGGAUAUGAUUUAGGUCAUGCCUGAAUGGUCUAGUGGUUUUCCCUACGUUCUUCAAUUUAAGCCUAAAUUUUGCAAUACGAAGCUCAUGAUCUGAGCCACAGUCAGCUCCAGGUCUUGUUUGUACUGACUGUAUAGAGCUUCUCCAUCUUUGGCUGCAAAGUACAUAAUCAAUCUGAUUUCGGUAUUGACUAUCUGGUGAUGUCCAUGUGUAGAGUCGUCUGUUGUGUUG